GACGUAGGGUGCAAGCGUUGUCCGGAUUCAUUGGGCGUAAAGGGCGCGCAGGCGGCCCGGAAAGUCGGAUGUGAAAGCCCCGGGCUCAACCCGGGAAGUGCACUCGAUACUGUCGAGCUAGAGUAUCGGAGAGGUUGGUGGAAUUCUCGGUGUAGAGGUGAAAUUCGUAGAUAUCGAGAGGAACACCGGUGGCGAAGGCGGCCAACUGGACGAAUACUGACGCUGAGACUCGAAAGCGUGGGGAGCAAACAGG
rnacentral:rRNA from 1 species